GUCAACUAUCAAUCAGUUAAUUUCGGCUGAGCAGGGAACGUUUGGUUUCAUAAGACCAUCAGACCUGAGCAUUGGUUACCACUUUAUGUGAUUACGGUGACAUGCAGAUCGACUGCGAAUAUUUAGGAGAGUUGCCAAUUAUGUGCAGAAGUGUACGGCCUGGAGGACAAAUUGAUGAUAAAAGACAAUGAAAGAAAUUCCUAUGGAUUUGGAACGAAAUGAGGGAAAAGCUUCUCGCCAGGGGAAAAGCGCCACUUCCGGCCCGGAGGGAAACCUAAGCCGCACCAGACCGACUGCUCCAGUCCAUGUCUCAAGCUCCAUCUUUAGGGACCAGGGCAGCACUUUCAUCUGGCCUCUCUCCCCUCUUAGCCAUCAAUAUCACCUCUCUUACUGCAGCCAUUCAGACCCCCAGAGACUACUCUUUACUUUCCACCAAAGAAAAAAAAAUCUAUUUAUCUAAAAUCUUUAUUUAACACUUGCAUAUAAUAUAGCGUAUCUUGCCAGAAGAUACAUAUCUUGUAAGCUGUGCACAUGUGCCAAAAAGUCUGUUUUUUUUUAACUAUGUAACACCUUGAGGUAAUGUUUAUGACACCUCAUCUAUCUGGAAGGAUUUUUUGUGUCAAAUAUUUUUGUCUUUGACAUUUUCAUUGAUGACGACCGAACCAGCUUUUGGCUCGCUAUGGUAUAAAACUGUUACUUUUGGCCCUGUGUACUUCUCUUAAAACACAUUUUUCACAGAAGAACUGUCAUUUUCUGAAAUUAAAGAUCGUUUGC